rnacentral:lncRNA from 7 species
UUUCUUUUCUUUUUCUGGAUAUUUUGCUUUUUGUUUUUCCUGUGUUUUAAUUUCUAUUUUGUGUGUGUUUUUUCAUUUGUCUUUUUGUUUUUUUUUUUUUUUUUUUUUUUUUUUGUGUGUCUGUUUUUGUGUAUUGUGCUUUUUUUUUGUUUUUGUUUUUUUGUGUUCUAUGAUUAGAUUUUCGUUCUGCUGUUUCGUUUCCCUUUUGCUUUCUUUGCAAUUCUUGUUUUUCUAUUUCUUCUAGUGUGUGUGCGUUUUGUGAAUUUCCUUUUUUUUUUUUGAUUUUUUGGGUUUUGUUUCCUC